UCUCUCUCUCUCUCUCUCUCUCAGUGAAUUUCACACUGACUUCCCAUCAGCUUCAAAAGUGGUCCAAGUUAGUACAGAGUUUCAUCAUUUUGAUAAAUCAGUCAUGAAGAUACAAGUCGAUGAACGACCGAAAUUCCUCGAUGCAUUAUCAGCAUUGAAUUUAUAGCUAUACUAUUUAUUAUUAUUAUUUUAUUUAUUAUUUUUUAACUCCAAAAACAGUGAAGACAAGUAUUUCAAUAAAUAUUUAUAACAGUA